rnacentral:rRNA from 1 species
GACGAACGCUGGCGGCGUGCUUAACACAUGCAAGUCGAACGAAGUGGCGAACGGGUGUGUAAUACGUGGGUAACCUGCCCUCAUUUUUGGGAUACGCCUUGGAAACGGGGCUUAAUACCGACUAAAGGGGGAUGGGCUCGGGACCUAUCAGCUUGUUGGUGGGGUGAUGGCCCAGCAAGGCGGUGACGGGUAGCCGGUCUGAGAGGGUGACCGGGCACAGUGGGACUGAGAUACGGCCCAGGCGCCUACGCGAAGGAGCCGUGGGGGGUAUUGCACAAUGGGCGAAAGCCUGAUGCAGCGACGCCGCGGGGGGGAUGAAGGCUGUCGGGUUGUAAACCUCUUUCGCUAUCGAAGGGGUAGGUGGAGAAGAAGCGCCGGCUAACUACGUGCCAGCAGCCGCGGUAAUUC